UACGUAGGGGGCUAGCGUUGUCCGGAAUCAUUGGGCGUAAAGAGCGCGUAGGCGGCUGGAAUAGUCCGGUGUGAAAUCCACAGGCUUAACCUGUGAAUGCCGCUGGAAACUGUCUGGCUAGAGUCCGGAAGGGGCGAGUGGAAUUCCUGGUGUAGCGGUGAAAUGCGCAGAUAUCAGGAGGAACACCGAUGGCGAAGGCAGGUCUCUGGGCUGUAACUGACGGCUGAGGAGCGAAAGCAUGGGGAGCGAACAGG
rnacentral:rRNA from 1 species